rnacentral:tRNA from 1 species
GGGCGAUUAGCUCAGUUGGUUAGAGCGCCACGUUGACAUCGUGGAGGUCAGUGGUUCAAAUCCACUAUCGCCCA